CUACGUGCCAGCAGCCGCGGUAAUACGUAGGGCGCGAGCGUUGUCCGGAAUUAUUGGGCGUAAAGAGCUUGUAGGCGGUUUGUCGCGUCUGCUGUGAAAGGCCGGGGCUUAACCCCGUGUAUUGCAGUGGGUACGGGCAGACUAGAGUGCAGUAGGGGAGACUGGAAUUCCUGGUGUAGCGGUGGAAUGCGCAGAUAUCAGGAGGAACACCGAUGGCGAAGGCAGGUCUCUGGGCUGUAACUGACGUUGAGAAGCGAAAGCAUGGGGAGCGAACAGGAUUAGAUACCCUGGUAGUCCAUGCCGUAAACGUUGGGCACUAGGUGUGGGGGACAUUCCACGUUUUCCGCGCCGUAGCUAACGCAUUAAGUGCCCCGCCUGGGGAGUACGGCCGCAAGGCUAAAACUCAAAGAAAUUGACGGGGGCCCGCACAAGCGGCGGAGCAUGCGGAUUAAUUCGAUGCAACGCGAAGAACCUUACCAAGGCUUGACAU
rnacentral:rRNA from 1 species